UACGUAGGGCGCAAGCGUUGUCCGGAAUUAUUGGGCGUAAAGAGCUCGUAGGCGGCCUGUUGCGUCCGCUGUGAAAUCCCGGGGCUCAACCCCGGGCCUGCAGUGGAUACGGGCUGGCUAGAGGCAGGCAGGGGAGAACGGAAUUCCUGGUGUAGCGGUGAAAUGCGCAGAUAUCAGGAGGAACACCGGUGGCGAAGGCGGUUCUCUGGGCCUGUACUGACGCUGAGGAGCGAAAGCGUAGGGAGCGAACAGG
rnacentral:rRNA from 1 species